AAGGAUCAUUAAAUAAUCCAAUCUUGGGCUUGUCCAUUAUUAUCUAUUUCUGUGAGACUGGUAUUAUUAUUUGACGUUUGAGGGAUGUUCCAAUGUUAUAAGGAUAGACAUUGGAGAUGUUAACCGAGUCAUAAUCAGGUUUAGGCCUGGUAUCCUAUUAUUAUUUACCAAAUGAAUGCAGAAUUAAUAUUGUAACAUAGACCUAAAAAAUCUAUAAAACAACUUUUAACAACGGAUCUCUUGGUUCUCGCAUCGAUGAAGAACGUAGCAAAGUGCGAUAACUAGUGUGAAUUGCAUAUUCAGUGAAUCAUCGAGUCUUUGAACGCAACUUGCGCUCAUUGGUAUUCCAAUGAGCACGCCUGUUUCAGUAUCAAAACAAACCCUCUAUCCAACUUUUGUUGUAUAGGAUUAUUGGGGGCCUCUCGAUCUGUAUAGAUCUUGAAACCCUUGAAAUUUACUAAGGCCUGAACUUGUUUAAUGCCUGAACUUUUUUUUAAUAUAAAGGAAAGCUCUUGUAAUUGACUUUGAUGGGGCCUCCCAAAUAAAUCUUUUUUAAAUUUGAUC
rnacentral:rRNA from 1 species